CCUACGGGUGGCUGCAGUAAGGAAUAUUGGUCAAUGGACGAAAGUCUGAACCAGCCAUCCCGCGUGCAGGAUGAAAGCCCUAUGGGUUGUAAACUGCUUUUAGCAGAGAAGAAACGCUUUCAUUAAUGAGCGUCUGACGGUAUCUGCAGAAUAAGCACCGGCUAACUCCGUGCCAGCAGCCGCGGUAAUACGGAGGGUGCGGGCGUUAUCUGGAUUUACGGGUUUUAAGGGGGAGUUAGACGGCGGAGGUGAAAUCUUGUCGCUGAACGAUAAAAUUGCCAAUGAUACUGGUACUCUUGAAUUGGGUUGAGGUUAGCGGAAUGUGACAUGUAGCGGUGAAAUGCAUAGAUAUGUCAUGGAACACCAAUUGCGAAGGCAGCUAACUGGGCCUUGAUUGACGCUGAGGCACGAAAGCGUGGGUAGCGAACAGGAUUAGAUACCCUAGUAGUC
rnacentral:rRNA from 1 species